GGAGAGGUGGCCGAGUGGCUUAAGGCGCACGCUUGGAAAGCGUGUGUGCGUUAACCCGUACCGCGGGUUCGAAUCCCGCCCUCUCCGCCA
rnacentral:tRNA from 1 species